rnacentral:rRNA from 1 species
GACGAACGCUGGCGGCGUGCUUAACACAUGCAAGUCGAACGGUAAGGCCCUUCGGGGUACACGAGUGGCGAACGGGUGAGUAACACGUGGGUGAUCUGCCCUGCACUUCGGGAUAAGCCUGGGAAACUGGGUCUAAUACCGGAUAGGACCACUGCCUGCAUGGGUGGUGGUGGAAAGCUUUUGCGGUGUGGGAUGGGCCCGCGGCCUAUCAGCUUGUUGGUGGGGUGAUGGCCUACCAAGGCGACGACGGGUAGCCGGCCUGAGAGGGUGACCGGCCACACUGGGACUGAGAUACGGCCCAGACUCCUACGGGAGGCAGCAGUGGGGAAUAUUGCACAAUGGGCGCAAGCCUGAUGCAGCGACGCCGCGUGAGGGAUGACGGCCUUCGGGUUGUAAACCUCUUUCGGCACCGACGAAGCGCAAGUGACGGUAGGUGCAGAAGAAGGACCGGCCAACUACGUGCCUGCCGCCGCAGUAA